CAGGGAUGGAACCACAGGAUAUCUGGGCAAAGAGGAUUCUGGGCAGACAGAUGAGCCAGCACAAAGGCCCUGAGGUGGAAGCAUUCCUGGUGUGUACAGAAGACAGUAAGCAGGACAGGGUGGCUGCAGCAGAGUGAGCUGGUGGUGGAGAGAAAAGUGAGACCAAUCAUGUAGGGACUCGGGGACCACUGUAAGAACUUUGACUUUUACUCUGAGUAGAACAGCAAGCCAUUGGAGAGUCCUGAGCAGAGAAAGGACUGACCUGCCUCAUGUUUUAAAUCUGGCUGCCGUAUUGGAAGUAGAUUGGAGGAAAAAAAAGUGGAAGCCCUGGGACCCACCAUCAUGAACAAUCGGGGAGAAGACAAGAGGCCAGCAAAGGAAUGAACACAGGGACGCAUGAGACAUUUGGUGCCGAAGACCUGGGUCAGCGGGACUCCUUUGGGAGACCAGUCCCCCAUCCUCACCCUCACUCUGUGAAGAGAUCCACCUACGACCUUGGGUCCUCAGACCAACCAGCCUAAGGAACAUCUCACCUAUUUUAAAUCGGACAGGAAUGUCAGGCCUCUGAACCCAAGCUAAGCCAUCAUAUCCCCUGUGACCUGCAUUUAUACAUCCAGAUGGCCUGAAGCAAAUGAAGAUCCACAAAAGAAGUAAAAAUAGCCUUAACUGAUGACAUUCCACCAUUGUCAUCUGCCCUACCCUAACUGAGAAGAUAUAUUCUCCCCCGCCCUUAAGAAGGUACUUUGUAUGCCUAUCCCAAACCUAUAAGAACUAAUGAUAAUCCCAGCGCCCUUUGAUGACUCUUUUUUCUGACUCAGCCCACCUGUACCCAGGUGAAAUAAACAGCCUUGUUGCUCACACAAAGCCUGUUUGGUGGUCUCUUCGCAAGGACGCAUGAGACAGCAUUUACUAUGCUAUUGAGAUUGCCUGUUGAACCUUUCUGCCUCCUCCAACAGAGAAUAAGUUUAUUGAAGGCAGAGAAUAUUUAUCCUUCACGCAGAACUUGAAAAAACAGUUAUAAUUUUUUAUUUUUUGAGACAGAGUCUUGCUCUGUUGCCCAGGCUGGAGUGCAAUGGCACCACCUCAGCUCACUGCAACCUCUGCCUCCCGGAUUCAAGCAAUUUUCCUGCCUCAGCCUCCCAAAUAUCUUGGAUUACAGGCACCUGCCUUCAUGCCCGGCUGAUUUUUGUAUUUUUGUAGAGACAAGAUUUCACCGUGUUGGCCAGGCUGGUCUUGAAGUCCUGACCUCAGGUGAUUCACCUGCCUCAGCCUCCUAAAGUGUUGGGAUUACAGGCGUGAGCCAACACGCUCAGCCAGUAUUUUUGAAUGAAUGAGAAAAUACAUUUUGGGACAUGCUUGGGACAUGUUGAAUUGAGGUAUUUAUGGGACACAGAAGGCAGAAGCAUCUGGUAAGAGCAGUGGUGUGCUGGUAAAUGUUUAUCAACUGGCUCUCAGUGGAAAAAGUUCCGAUUUGCAGCAUUUGUUGAAUUCCACAACAUCAACACUCCCACCGUUGGUAUUCAAGCUGCCAAUGUGGCAUUGCUAAAUAUAGAGUUGAGAAGAGAUGUGCACUGUUGGCUCUCACAAGUUGGUGUGAGCAGGCUCCAGCACACCACUGCCUGUGGGUAGGUGGAUUUAAGGGUAUGAGGUUCAGGAGUGCAAUGUGGGCUGGAGAGAUGGAUUUGGUGGUCAUCUUCGAAGUGAUGGUCAUUGGAGCUAGGGGAACAGCAAGAUAACCCAAGGAGUUGGUUCAGGGUCAAAAGGAGAGAACAGGAAUCGAAUUUGAUGCAAGGCCAACAUUUUAGGUAGCAUGUGGAAGAGGAGCAUCUUUGAAGGAGAAAGACGUGAAUGAAAAAAUCAUUCAGGAGAACAAUUCAGGAGAAAACCUGAAUGAUUUUCUCAUUCAGACAGGAAGACCUGAAUGAGAAAAUCAGGAGAGCCAGGUCAGAACAGUGUCAAGGAAGUCAGAGAAUAGGAAUUUUCAAGAAGAUUCUUCCCAUCGUAAAAAUUAUGCAGAGAGAUGCAGUAAUGCAAGGUCUGGAAAAUAUCUAUUAAGUUUCAAAGUUAGCAGGUUAUUAUUACUUAACCAGAAUAGUAAGGAGAGUGGCCAGAGUAUAGAGAGGAAAGUGAGAAGAGAGUGUAUAUGGUCAGGGAUGGUGGCAUUUUGGGUGUUGUAUUAGUUACCUAUUGCUGCAUAUCAAAUUACUUUAAAACUUAGUAGCUUAAGCCGGGCCCAGUGGCUCACACCUGUAA
rnacentral:lncRNA from 10 species